UGUCUGUCAGUGUGUGUGUGUAUCUAUCUCUGUCAGUGUGUGUGUGUGUAUGUCUGUCAGUGUGUGUGUGUGUAUCUAUGUCUGUCAGUGUGUGUGUGUGCAUCCAUGUCUGUCAGUGUGUGUAUGUAUAUGUCUCUGUCCAUGUGUCUGUGUGUAUCUAAAUGUCUGUUAGUGUGUGUGUCUGUCUGUUAGUGUGUCUUUGUGUGUCUUCUUCCCUAUCAUUGUGUAUGUGUGUCUGUAUGUCACUGUGUGUUUAUCUGUAUGUCUGUCAGUGUUUGUGUGUACCUGUGUGUCUAUCUGAAUGUGUAUCAGUUUGUGUAUAUGUAUAUCUGCAUGUGUCAGUGUGUG